rnacentral:rRNA from 1 species
GACGAACGCUGGUGGCGUGCCUAAUACAUGCAAGUCGAGCGGACGGAUGGGAGCUUGCUCCCAGACCGUCAGCGGCGGACGGGUGAGUAACACGUGGGCAACCUGCCUGUAAGACUGGGAUAACUCCGGGAAACCGGGGCUAAUACCGGAUAACUCUUUCCCUCACAUGAGGGAAAGCUGAAAGAUGGCAUCUCGCUAUCACUUACAGAUGGGCCCGCGUCGCAUUAGCUAGUUGGUGAGGUAACGGCUCACCAAGGCGACGAUGCGUAGCCGACCUGAGAGGGUGAUAGGCCACACUGGGACUGAGACACGGCCCAGACUCCUACGGGAGGCAGCAGUAGGGAAUCUUCCGCAAUGGACGAAAGUCUGACGGAGCAACGCCGCGUGAGUGAUGAAGGUUUUCGGAUCGUAAAACUCUGUUGUCAGGGAAGAACAAGUACCGGAGUAACUGCCGGUACCUUGACGGUACCUGACCAGAAAGCCACGGCUAACUACGUG